rnacentral:rRNA from 1 species
CCCUUAGAUGUUCUGGGCUGCACGCGCGCUACACUGAUGCGAUCAACAAGUUUUUCCUAUGUCGAUAGACACGGGUAAUCUUUUGAACUCGCAUCGUGAUGGGGAUAGAUUAUUGUAAUUAUUAAUCUUCAACGAGGAAUUCCUAGUAGGUGCAAAUCAUCAGUUUGCAUCGAUUACGUCCCUGCCCUUUGUACACACCGCCCGUCGCUGCUACCGAUUGGUUGAUCUGGUGAAUUAUUCGGACUGCCGGCUGAAGGGGUUUCCUCAUCUGCCAGCGGAAAGUCUUGUUAACCCUAUCAACUAGAGGAAGCGGAAGUCGUAACA